GCCUUAGUGGUGUAGUGGUCAGCACACUGGACGCGUAAUCGAGAGGUCCAUGGUUCGAUUUCCGGCGAAGGCG
rnacentral:tRNA from 1 species